UACGUAGGGGGCGAGCGUUGUCCGGAAUUAUUGGGCGUAAAGAUCGUGUAGGCAGUCCGGUAAGUCCGCUGUGAAAGUCGGGGGGCUCAACCCUCGGAUGCCGGUGGAUACUGUCGGGCUCGAGUACGGAAGAGGCGAGUGGAAUUCCUGGUGUAGCGGUGAAAUGCGCAGAUAUCAGGAGGAACACCAAUUGCGAAGGCAGCUCGCUGGGACGUUACUGACGCUGAGACGCGAAAGCGUGGGGAGCAAACAGG
rnacentral:rRNA from 1 species